rnacentral:ribozyme from 14 species
AUCUCGUGUUUCUGUUGUUUGUUUGUUUGCUUGUUUUUGUUCUUUGUCUCUCUCUCCCAAGUUUGGUACUUUUCCAAAUGACA